CAUCAGAUGACUGAAAGUAAGUAAUGGUCUCUUAAACCACAUUAUAGUAAUUAACAACUACUUCUGGUGA
rnacentral:tRNA from 1 species